rnacentral:rRNA from 1 species
GAUGAACGCUAGCGGCAGGCUUAACACAUGCAAGUCGAGGGGUAUAGGGAGCUUGCUUCCUAGAGACCGGCGCACGGGUGCGUAACGCGUAUGCAAUCUACCUUUUGCAGAGGGAUAGCCCAGAGAAAUUUGGAUUAAUACCUCAUAGUAUAGUACUUUGGCAUCAAGGAACUAUUAAAGUCACAACGGCAAAAGAUGAGCAUGCGUCCCAUUAGCUAGUUGGUAAGGUAACGGCUUACCAAGGCUACGAUGGGUAGGGGUCCUGAGAGGGAGAUCCCCCACACUGGUACUGAGACACGGACCAGACUCCUACGGGAGGCAGCAGUGAGGAAUAUUGGACAAUGGGCGCAAGCCUGAUCCAGCCAUGCCGCGUGCAGGAUGACGGUCCUAUGGAUUGUAAACUGCUUUUANACAGGGAAGAAACACUCCGACGUGUCGGAGCUUGACGGUACUGUAAGAAUAAGGAUCGGCUAACNCCGUGCAGCAG